GGAGGAGAGAGGGGAGGGAGGCAGGGAAAGAGGAAGAGAGCCGAGCGCCUCUGGCUGCGCUCUCUUGCUAUUAGAAGGGAGUGACUGAAGAGGCUGGCGAGUGAAGGCACACAGAGAGGAUGAUUUAGAUGCCUCUGCUUCUGCCCACAAGACCCACAACAAGGGAGAGGCUCUAGGCUGCAGCCACUCGGUGGGGUAAUGGCUGGGGCUGGAGAGUCGCUUCAAAAGCCCUGAAAGCCUCCUGCGCAGCCUUAAGGGACAUCCCAGAAGUUAGCAUCAGUGGGACUUGGAAGCUCCGAUCUCAACAAAAUCUCAGUAUUGCUGCUUCUUCAGUGACAGAGCAACCACAGGAGUAGUCCACAGCCCUUCUAUUCAGAAAAAGAAUCAGGAUGAGGACAUUGGGAGUAACAUGGAUCCAUGGCAUGGGUUGAGGCCAGGAGAGUCAAGAUUGUAAUUCAGAAUCAAGAUGACUGGAUUCUGACAGACACAAAGUAGGAGAAUUGGACUCAGGCCAAGAUGAGUUCAAAGCCAGGCUCUGCUGCUUCAGAGCCAUGUGGCCUUGGGCAAGUUCCUUCUCUGCUCUGAAUCUCAGUCUCCUUAUCUGUAUGAUGGACACAUCAUACUAAUAACAUCGUUGUGAUGAUCAGGUAACAUAGUAAUCCCACCUGUGCUGAGGGACUGGAUUCAAGAGCUCCCCUCUGAAGGCAGGGACAGCCCAGGAUGCAGGCCAGAGGGAUGCUCUGAGCAGGGGAGGAUGUGAGUCUGUGUCAGCUCCCCAGGGACAAGAAAGCCUGAACAAGGCUGAUGCAGUGGGUCCUCAUCCCCCUGAGAAGUCCCUUUUGCAGAGGCCUUAGCAGUUCUACAAUUGGAGAACACUGUGCAGAGACAGCUCUGUGGUGAUGAAGUGUUCUAUCUAACACCACCUAUUCUGAGAUCCACAUUGUCCCUGGCUCCACAUUCCACUGACGGCCCCUUGACCUGCUCCUGGCACAUGUCUCCCUCACAGACACAGGAGACUUAUCCACUUUAGCAGUGGGAGAGCUUAGAAGAAACUCCUUCUUGGGCCUUCAGCUAAAAGGACAAUGCAUUCCUGAAGCCCUUCUGAGCCCAUUGGGAGCAAGGAACAUCCUGGGCAUAAAUAUCAGCAUCUGGGAUCUAACUCCACUCAUGUGACAGACCUGCGCAGUCCUGUUGUGCCACAAUUCCCAAACCACUGAUUAUCAGCAUCAGUUCCAUCUGAGCCAGAAACCAGCUCUGGGCUAAUGGGACACAAUAAGGAGUGGGGACUGUGGUGGACUGAAGUCAUCUGCUCCACCCUCCUGUCCUUAGAGCUCUCCUCUGAGAGUAUUUAUAGCAUUGUCAGAAAUCUCUUCUCAUCGAAAGCCAUUUCUUCUUUUAGUGACAUAGAGGACUACCACCAUAACCUAACAUGCUGUUCUCUGUUUUGCAAGUGGUGCCAGUUAGGAAGGAGAAGGCAGCCUGGCAGGAGAUGCACUUUAAGAACAGGGACUGUCCUAGCAGCCGUCUGCAUGAUGGAAGGGGCUAAAGAAGUGGACAGCAGACAGGUCUAGUUAGGACCAUGGGAAUCAGACUGGUGGGAAUGGAGGAGGCAAACUCCUUGACCUCCUCUUUGCUAUGGCAUGCAUCCCAGAGUGAACUCUCCUCUCCCCCCACCCCCACCCUCAGCCUCCUGCCUUUCUUUGUCCUGGAGAUUGACAGGCAGCAUUUAUGGCAGACCCAAUAGUCCAAAGAGGAAAGCUUUGAAGAGAAUUUAUUGGCACUAUCACAGCUCUUAGCACCAUGCUGAGCAUAACUCAAAGUACAAUCCAAGGUGUCCCUAGGAAGAAAAGGUCUCUCUCUGACUCAGUAGCCCAGAAACAUAAAUUGGCAGCUGUGAAUCUAAUUCACAGUUGCCUUUUCUUUGGCUUGCAUAAUAUUUCUAAAGUUGUCGAAUUUGUUAUUUUUGGGGAGGGGGUAAUUUCAUGUUCAAAUGUUUUAAUUUCUAGAUUUUUUUGUAAAAAGAAAGUGAAGGAUCUUGCAGUAUCAACUCCACAUUCUGGCACGGCAAUAAUUAGCUAGAGCCAAGGAGAGAUUGCCCUCUUUUUUACUGCAUGUGUGCUCAGUUCACCACAGUCCCCCACUCCUUAUUACAACCCAUUAGCCCAGAGCUAGUUUUGGGUGCAUUAACCAUGUAUUUGUAUCAUUACUUUCCUAGACUAAAGAGAAUUAAUAUUUUAAAUCUUUAUCAAAAAUGUGAUAAUGAGAUGUAAGAAAUUGCAUCUGAAUAAAAAUAGAAAAAAGCCUAUUAUCUGUAUAUGACCAAUAAUCAAAUAUAAUGUGUCCAUAUUGAAAGAUCCCAUCCAGCAGCCACAUUCACUGACUUCUAUAGGAGGCAGAGUUCUGCACCAACCCAAAGGUUCUGGUUACUAUGGAAUGUCCAACCCCAUGAGCUGAGAAAUUCAGGAAAAAUUGCAUAUUUUCCCUUGCUCCUGGCAGAAGCAGACCCAUCUUGGAUGAGGGAAAAUCCAGACCUUAAGAGUAAAAUUGGUGGCUGCUAGCUAGUGGUCUUUUCCUUGUAGGGAGUUCACUGUCUGAGCAGACAUUUCCAAGAGAGAAGGGGAUGCUCCUAGUCAUUCUACCAGAACAGCCAAUGCUACCUGGGCCAUGUGGAUACCCGUGUCCUUGGAGCAAUUACGGAUAUUUGGGGGCAAGAUUGUUGUAGUUUGAAAAGCCCAGGAGCACUGUCAGAUGAGCAGGGAGCACUCUAGAGGAGAGCCAGAGGGUGGAGAACAGAGACCCACCAGAGAGGCACAGCCAUGCCACUGGCAGCCUCUGCAUAGCAGGUAUGCACAGACAAAAUACAUUGCUUUCCUGGCACAGUUCAGACAUCUAUUGAUCUGGCUACAUCCUGGGCCUGACCCUCAUGGAGGCCUAGAGCAACCUGGUGAAACCCAAGAGCUGCAGAAAAGCAACCAGUCCUGAGAAACUUGUCCUACCCCUCCAUAGUUCUGUGCCUGUAAGCAUACCACCAAUCGCUGUGCUUUUGUGAACUGUACAAUGAGGCUACAAUUUUGACAGAUGUAUUCAAGUAUUAAAUGAUACAAUGCAUUAAAAAAAAAAAACUAGUACAGAGAUGGUACAUAAUGGACAUUCAAAACCUAAGCUAUUUUUCCUAUUUGGCCCCCUGUUCUCAUACCAGAAAGUUUUCCUACCUCACCCACUUUCCUGGCACCCUCUGUACCACAGCUUUCCUGAACCUUCCUUACCCAUCCCUGCCAAACCAAAUUAAAAACUGCACCUCAGUUUCUCUAUCACUGUCUAUGGGCUGAUCUGUUGGCCUGUUUGCUCACCACCAACCUAUAAGCUCCUUCAGGGCAGAGAAUAUAACUGUGAUCCUCAAUGUCUUUGCCUGUUAGAGUCACCGGUGGCCAGGGCUGAUUGCAAGUGCACCUAGGGUGCGGCCUUGCUGCUCAAUGCAGACUAAGAACCAGCAGUGUCAACAUCACUGGGAGCUCCUUAGAUAAAAUGCAAAUUUGGGGAACCCAGAUCUAAUGAUUCAAAGCCUGCAUUUCAAUAAGAUCCUCUAGUGGAUGGAAAGCACAGGAAAGCCCUUGAAGUGAGGUUCUACCCACUUCUACCCUGAGGGCCCAUCAUAAUGCUAGUAUUCAGUGGGGGUUGCUGACUGGGUGGAUAGGAAGAAGCCUUUUGUCAGUUUCUCCUGAAAUUUCUCCUGAGCAUUCACACCUACUACCUCUUGUGCUAUGACCCAGAUUAAUUUAGGUUCAAUACCCAGGAAUUCAAGAAUGGAUCUUCUGCACCUAAGCUGAUAGAAUCAAUAACUGCACAAUGUUGAAGUUUUUAAACAAAACACCUGAUUUUUUUUAAAGAUUUAUUACUCCUGGGCUCUGUGCCAUUAAAUCUCAGAGUGCACCAAAAAGAAUUUUGUUUUGUUUUAAGGCUGGUAAUUUUGAAAAGCCAGGAAACCAGUACUGGCCUCUUGGGAGGAGUCAACCCUUUAGUGUGGUUAGGACACAGGUUCAGAGAGGCUGGAUUGGGCUAACCCUUUUUUGAGGAUGAGGGACCCGAAUCUGGGAUCUGGGCCUUGUCUGCUCUCUCCCUGGCUAGGGUUCCUGGGCCAGCAGGCUAGUUCCUGGGGGACAGUGCCUCUGUCUCCUCUCUCAGUGGGCUCCUUCUGGCCUCUCUCAGCUGCUAUUUCUGCAUCUGUUUGGAGGAGGCUGAGGGCCCCUGUGGCUUGUCUCCCAUGUGGCCUCUGAACUACUGUGACUGCCAGGGUACUCAAGAGCAUAACAAAGGCAAUAAUUCAGUUUCUAACCCCAGUAAGGGCAUUUGUUGUCUGGGGCCUGCUGCUGGGGGGUUCCCUGAAAGCCUCCUGUGUCACAUUCCCUGAGGCCGGGCUGGUGGAAGCUCAGGGGUCCCGGGUCGCAGUCUGGGUCAGACCAGGUCUCGCUGUGGGGGCGACGCUGAGGGCUCCCCCAUCUGCGCUCAGCUCAGGGCUUCCCCGCCACGCCUGGGGCUUCCGAGUCCCCAAGCUCGCG